rnacentral:lncRNA from 1 species
GCGCUGCGUCCUCUCCAAAUUGCUUCCGAGCAGGAAGGGGAUCAGAGCCAAACAGGCUGCAGAUACCUACAUUGGAACAGGUUGCCCAAGGAGGCUGUGGAUGCCCCAUCCCUGCAGGCAUUCAAGGCCAGGCUGGAUGUGGCUCUGGGCAGCCUGGGCUGCUGGUUGGCGACCCUGCACAUAGCAGGGGGUUGGAACUGGAUGAGCACUGUGGGCCUUUUCAACCCAGGCCAUUCUAGGACUCUAUGAUGAUAUACAGACCCAGGGAGACCACACAGCUCCCAGAGGAAGCAUUGGCUCCCAAUCUUAGCAAGCUACGAAUGGAAAAACGCUAAUGCUGCUCUACGUUCAAAAAAAAACCUGGGCUAACUCUUUCCAAAGGACCAUCUAGUGCUGCAGCCCACCUCUGAAGAUGCUGCAGGAGCAUUCUCCUGGAACACAGCACGCCUGUAAGGAUGUUUUUCCAGAGUACCCACUACCCCUAGGUAUUUACAGGUCAGAGCUUCUUGAGCCAACAUUAAGGUCGUUGCAUUCGAUAGGACAGCUUCAAUUUUGUAUCCAUAAAUCCAUUUCUCAGGGCUUCCCACCCACUUUCUUCUUCAGGAAGUGCUGUGUGGUCCUCUAUUCUCUGGUGCCCCUGGAACCAAGCAGGGUGGGCAGAUCUGGAGUCCCACAGGCAAGGAGCAAGUGCCUCUCCCAGUAACCCACCUGUUCCUCACCUCUCCCUCCAGUAAAGUGAGGUGAUGUGUUAUGAAGCAAUAGGCUGAAACAAGUGGCACUGCUUUACAUAUCAGCAUAUAUGGAAGACAGUUGGAAUUUUGUGUUACGUUUAUUGGUUUUAUUAGUUUUGUCUGCACCGUAACACACACCUGCUAUUUAAUAAGAAAAUAAGUGAGAGCCUCCACGCCAAGAUUAACUAAGAUAUGCUAAAUUGAUUAUUGACCUUUCUGGGAGAGCCCUGUGCAGGAUAGACAUGUGGGGGAGUGCUCACGGGGCCAUGGGACAUUUAGUAGGGAAUUGUAUACACACAAUCAAAGAAAGGUUUGGCUUGGAAUGAACCCUCAAAGUCCAUCUGGUUCCAAUCCCUGCCACCCUGAGCUUCACCAUUUUGGGGAGCAGAGGGUGACGGGCUGAAGCUGUGUGGGCUGGUGAAGACAUCACAGCCCAGUUGAUGCCAUACUGGUUGUCCAUAUGGUUGGGCUCUGGACCUGCUGUGGGAGGGUCCCCAUGCUGCUGGGUGGUCUGUGGGGGAAAGUUCCUUGCUGUUGAGUUACUCUGAAAAGAAGAAUUGGGGCUCUAGGACAUGGUUUUGUACCUGCUUUGCUUCUCAUGGACCCAACAGCCCACUUGAACUGCAUGGUGACGUUCUUUUUCUCUGCUUGCACAUCUAAGCAAAGAGCCUGGACCCUGCAUGGCACUGUGCUCCUGUUCUUCAUGGACAGCCUUAUGCAAGGGCUUCCAGGUCUGGAAGAGGCAUCAAGCAAGACAUCACAUGAAACUCACUGACCUUUACAGCUUCUGGACGUGGGACAUCCAAGGCAGGUAUUCCUAAAUGUCAUUUUGUAUCAUUUAACACAUACAGCUCGAGUAGAUGAUAUUUGUUUUGAUGUUUAAAAAUAUUCAAAAUGAUCUCUGCGGCAUUCCUCAAAAGAUGGUUGAUUGAGUUGGACAGCUUCUCUGCAAGAGGCAGUGCCCAAAGAUUGUUUGCAAAUAUACUUUCAACUUGAUUUACCAAUAAUGGGAGUCAAGGAGGAUCAAUAUGUACAGGAUACCAUUGAGGAGAAAAAAGUGAUGGUACAGCUGGUAAAUCCCAUGGGGAGGAAAGAGCUCUUUGUCUCUGAGUAGAGACAUCUGGGAAACUGGGAGAAAAAUUCUGGCUAUUGGAGAAGUGAGAGCCCAGAUGGACCAUUGCAAUGAGACUGCCAAGGGUUGAGACUGCUCUUGUUUGGUAGUGAUGCUUCCUUACCAGUGAUGAAGUACAAUGUGAUCCUCAGGAUGCUGCCAUGCUCAACCAGACAAGGAGGUUUGGAGAUGGUCAAUGGAGGGAGGAGCAGGGGAGGGGACCCUGCACAGACCCCCUGGGUGCUGGAUGUAGCUAACGUUACAUGGCACUCUUCACAAAUCGCUUUUUGCUGUGGGCCGAAUAAUGGCUUAUAAUAAUAACAUCACUGUGUGUCCCCAGGGCAGCACGGCUGCUGGCAGGAGGGCGGAGGUUUCUUCCCACUUCCAUCUGUGUGGUCCAGGGUGGGUCAGAAAGUGGCCUCAUGCCUCAGUUUCCCCCCUUGCAGCCCAGGAAUGCUCUCAUCCUGCUGACAGCAACUGCGAUAAAUAACAUCUCUCAAGCACCCGCUAUUUAAAAAAUCUUUUAUUGCUUCCCGUUAAGCUGAUGACUGCUAAUGAGGAGAAUCAAAUUCACUGCCCUGUCGCCAUUAGACAAAUAUGUGCUCCAUCUCCAUCCAAAAACCCCAUUGUAAAUAACUGCGGAGGAGUGGAAUAAACAUCGUCCUUCCCAGGGCAGGGCUGAGCAGCAGGAAUGAGCAAACACAGGUGCGGAAGAUUUGUAAGCUUUAGAAGAGUUUGGGGCUAUUUGGGAAUCAAAUCUGGUUUUGGUUAUGAGCAUCUUCAGCGGAGAAACCCCAAACCACCAAUAAGAGACCCCACAGAUGGGGCCGUGGCAGCCGUCUGCAGCUGUGGGCUGGCUGGGGCCACGGAGGCCCAUCCCAGCAGUGUGGUGACACCGAGGGGCGGCGGUCCUGGUGCUGUCCCUGCACCCUGUGCUUGGUAUCCUCAGCCCUGUGCGUGACCCAACGCCCCGUGCAGGGAAGUCCCCCUGCGUUAAAUCUGCUACGCUGGGGUUGGUGCCGCUCGGUGUGCAGUUGGGGCUAAGCUGCUCGCUUCACGUGGCUUUCCUCUCUGCCUUUCCCCUUUCCCGUUUGAAGGUGAAGGUUUUAUGUGACUGAAAUGUGUUAACGCUCCCAUAAAAGUAAAUG